AUUGAACGCUGGCGGCAGGCCUAACACAUGCAAGUCGAGCGGAGCGGCGGACGGGGGAGUAAUGCCUAGGAAUCGGCCUGGUAGUGGGGGAUAACGUCCGGUAACGGGCCCUAAUACCACAAAAUAUUAGAUGAGCAUAGGUCGGAUUAGCUAGGUGGUGGGGUAAAGGCCUACCAAGGCGACGUUCAGUAGCUGGUAUGAGAGGAUGAUCAGUCACACUGGAACUGAGACACGGUCCAUACUCCGACGGGAGGCAGCAGUGGGGAAUAUUGCACAAUGGGCGCAAGCCUGAUGCAGCCAUGCCGCGUGGAUGAAGAAGGCCCUAGGGUUGUAAAGUUCUUUCAGUCGGGAGGCGUUACCGACAGAAGAAGCACCGGCUAACUCCGUGCCAGCAGCCGCGGUAAUUC
rnacentral:rRNA from 1 species